rnacentral:rRNA from 1 species
UGCAGUCGAGCGGAGGAGGUGCUUGCACCUUAUCUUAGCGGCGGACGGGUGAGUAAUGCUUAGGAAUCUGCCUAUUAGUGGGGGACAACAUUCCGAAAGGAAUGCUAAUACCGCAUACGUCCUACGGGAGAAAGCAGGGGAUCUUCGGACCUUGCGCUAAUAGAUGAGCCUAAGUCGGAUUAGCUAGUUGGUGGGGUAAAGGCCUACCAAGGCGACGAUCUGUAGCGGGUCUGAGAGGAUGAUCCGCCACACUGGGACUGAGACACGGCCCAGACUCCUACGGGAGGCAGCAGUGGGGAAUAUUGGACAAUGGGGGGAACCCUGAUCCAGCCAUGCCGCGUGUGUGAAGAAGGCCUUAUGGUUGUAAAGCACUUUAAGCGAGGAGGAGGCUACUGAGACUAAUACUCUUGGAUAGUGGACGUUACUCGCAGAAUAAGCACCGGCUAACUCUGUGCCAGCAGCCGCGGUAAUACAGAGGGUGCGAGCGUUAAUCGGAUUUACUGGGCGUAAAGCGUGCGUAGGCGGCUUUUUAAGUCGGAUGUGAAAUCCCCGAGCUUAACUUGGGAAUUGCAUUCGAUACUGGGAAGCUAGAGUAUGGGAGAGGAUGGUAGAAUUCCAGGUGUAGCGGUGAAAUGCGUAGAGAUCUGGAGGAAUACCGAUGGCGAAGGCAGCCAUCUGGCCUAAUACUGACGCUGAGGUACGAAAGCAUGGGGAGCAAACAGGAUUAGAUACCCUGGUAGUCCAUGCCGUAAACGAUGUCUACUAGCCGUUGGGGCCUUUGAGGCUUUAGUGGCGCAGCUAACGCGAUAAGUAGACCGCCUGGGGAGUACGGUCGCAAGACUAAAACUCAAAUGAAUUGACGGGGGCCCGCACAAGCGGUGGAGCAUGUGGUUUAAUUCGAUGCAACGCGAAGAACCUUACCUGGCCUUGACAUACUAGAAACUUUC